rnacentral:rRNA from 1 species
AGAGUUUGAUCCUGGCUCAGGAUGAAUGCUGGCGGCGUGUCUAAGGCAUGCAAGUCGAACGGGCGCAACAUCGUAGCAAUACGUUGAGGCGCUAGUGGCAAACGGGAGCGUAACACAUUGGUAACCUACCCCGAACUCGUGAAAAACGAUUGGAAACGAUCGCUAAUACACGAUAUUGAUGAGGGGGCGCAAGCCAUUCUCAUUGAAAGUUUUUCGGUUCGGGAGGGGCCUAUGGUCCAUCAGCUAGUUGGCGGGGUAAUAGCCCACCAAGGCAAUAACGGAUACCAGGCGCGAGAGCGUGACCUGGCUCAUUGGAACUGAGACACUGUCCAAACACCUACGGGUGGCUGCAGUCGAGAAUAUUCCACAAUGCACGAAAGUGUGAUGGAGCGACGCCGCGUGUUGAACGAAGGCCUUCGGGUCGUAAACAACUUUUCUCAGGGACGAAUUUUGACGGUACCUGAGGAAUAAGGGGUUGCUAACUCUGUGCCAGCAGCAGCGGUAAUACAGAGACCCCAAGCAUUAUCCGGAUUUAUUGGGCGUAAAGCGUACGUAGGCGGUUUUCGUAGUCAUUUGUUAAAUCUUCAGGCUAACCUGGAAGCUGCGGGUGAUACUGCGAGGCUUAGAGUAUGGGGAGAAGUUAACGGAAUGCCUGGGUGUAGCGGUAAAAUGCGGUAAUAUCAGGUAGAACACCAAAUGCGAAAGCAGCUAACUGGAACAUCACUGACGGUGAGUGUACGAAAGCGUGGGUAGCGAAGGGGAUUAGAUACCCCUGUAGUCCACGCCGUAAACGAUGACAACUAGUUUUUGGGAGUAUCGACCCUCCCAGAGACGACAAACCAAGCUAACGCGUUAAGUUGUCCGCCUGGGAACUACGGUCGCAAGACUAAAACUCAAAGGAAUAGACGGGGACCCGCACAAGCGGUGGAUCAUGCGGUUUAAUUCGAUGCAACGCGAGAAACCUCACCUGGGCUUGAAAUAUAGCUGCAAGCUCCUUAAACGGAGUCGCCUUCGAGGGAGCUAUGUAGGUGCUGCAUGGUUGUCGUCAGCUCGUGCCGUGAGGUGUACCCUUAAGUGGAGUAACGAGCGCAACCCCUGUUCUGCGUUAUAUUUUCGCAGAAGACUGCUUCCGUAAGGGAGAGGAAGGAAGGGAUGACGUCAAAUCAGCAUAGCCCUUACGUCCAGGGCAACACGCAUGGUACAAUGGCCGGUACAGAGGGUAGCCAAACCGCAAGGUGGAGCCAAUCCCAUAAAACCGGUCCCAGUUCGGAUUGGGGUCUGCAACUCGACCCCAUGAAGCCGGAAUCGCUAGUAAAGGCGGAUCAUUACGCCGCCUUGAAUACGUUCUCGGGUCUUGUACACACCGCCCGUC